CUGGGCGUAAGCGCACGCAGGCGGUCUGUCAAGUCGGAUGUGAAAUCCCCGGGCUCAACCUGGGAACUGCAUUCGAAACUGGCAGGCUAGAGUCUUGUAGAGGGGGGUAGAAUUCCAGGUGUAGCGGUGAAAUGCGUAGAGAUCUGGAGGAAUACCGGUGGCGAAGGCGGCCCCCUGGACAAAGACUGACGCUCAGGUGCGAAAGCGUGGGGAGCAAACAGGAUUAGAUACCCUGGUAGUCCACGCCGUAAACGAUGUCGACUUGGAGGUUGUGCCCUUGAGGCGUGGCUUCCGGAGCUAACGCGUUAAGUCGACCGCCUGGGGAGUACGGCCGCAAGGUUAAAACUCAAAUGAAUUGACGGGGGCCCGCACAAGCGGUGGAGCAUGUGGUUUAAUUCGAUGCAACGUGAAGAACCUUACCUACUCUUGACAUCCAGAGAACUUAGCAGAGAUGCUUUGGUGCCUUCGGGAACUCUGAGACAGGUGCUGCAUGGCUGUCGUCAGCUCGUGUUGUGAAAUGUUGGGUUAAGUCCCGCAACGAGCGCAACCCUUAUCCUUUGUUGCCAGCGGUUAGGCCGGGAACUCAAAGGAGACUGCCAGUGAUAAACUGGAGGAAGGUGGGGAUGAC
rnacentral:rRNA from 1 species